rnacentral:lncRNA from 1 species
CCGACAGUCUAAAAAAAAGAGGGGCUCUCGCGGAAAACUGCUCUCAUGGAUAUGGCAUCAUUCUUAAGUGAAUGUGAAUCUGUGUCCCUCCCUGGGCAAGAACUACAGCCACCAGAAGGGAAACAUCAUUCUGAAUGCAACAGUGUACAUCCAACCUCCAUGAAAGCCCACUACUGCAUCAUCAUACUGCUACAAAGACUACAUGAGAAAGUAUAAAGAAACCAGUAAUACCUACAUAUCAUGUGUGAUCAACAAUAUUAACA